rnacentral:rRNA from 1 species
UCUUUCGGGGGGUACUCGAGUGGCGAACGGGUGAGUAACACGUGAGUAACCUGCCCUUGACUUUGGGAUAACUUCAGGAAACUGGGGCUAAUACCGGAUAGGAGCUCCUGCUGCAUGGUGGGGGUUGGAAAGUUUCGGCGGUUGGGGAUGGACUCGCGGCUUAUCAGCUUGUUGGUGGGGUAGUGGCUUACCAAGGCUUUGACGGGUAGCCGGCCUGAGAGGGUGACCGGCCACAUUGGGACUGAGAUACGGCCCAG